rnacentral:rRNA from 1 species
UACGUAGGUGACCAGCGUUGUCCGGAUUUACUGGGCGUAAAGAGCGCGCAGGCGGUCGUUCAAGUCGAGUGUGAAAGCCCCCGGCUCAACUGGGGAGGUUCACUCGAUACUGAUCGACUUGAGGGCAGGAGAGGGAAGCGGAAUUCCCGGUGUAGUGGUGAAAUGCGUAGAUAUCGGGAGGAACACCAGUGGCGAAGGCGGCUUCCUGGCCUGUUCUUGACGCUGAGGCGCGAAAGCUAGGGGAGCAAACGGG